GGCAUAGCUCAGUCUGGUUAGAGCGCCGGCUUGUGGUGCCGGAGGACGCGGGUUCAAGUCCCGUUGC
rnacentral:tRNA from 1 species